rnacentral:rRNA from 1 species
CCUACGGGUGGCAGCAGUGGGGAAUCUUCCGCAAUGGACGAAAGUCUGACGGAGCAACGCCGCGUGAGUGAAGACGGCCUUCGGGUUGUAAAGCUCUGUGAUUCGGGACGAAAGGCCAUAUGUGAAUAAUAUAUGGAAAUGACGGUACCGAAAAAGCAAGCCACGGCUAACUACGUGCCAGCAGCCGCGGUAAUACGUAGGUGGCAAGCGUUGUCCGGAAUUAUUGGGCGUAAAGCGCGCGCAGGCGGUCUCUUAAGUCUAUCUUAGAAGUGCGGGGCUUAACCCCGUGAGGGGAUGGAAACUGGGAGACUGGAGUAUCGGAGAGGAAAGUGGAAUUCCUAGUGUAGCGGUGAAAUGCGUAGAUAUUAGGAAGAACACCGGUGGCGAAGGCGACUUUCUGGACGAAAACUGACGCUGAGGCGCGAAAGCGUGGGGAGCAAACAGGAUUAGAUACCCGAGUAGUC